rnacentral:rRNA from 1 species
GAAACGACUGCUAAUACCGCAUAAGCCCACGACCCGGCAUCGGGUUGAGGGAAAAGGAGCAAUCCGCUUUGAGAUGGCCUCGCGUCCGAUUAGCUAGUUGGUGAGGUAACGGCCCACCAAGGCGACGAUCGGUAGCCGGACUGAGAGGUUGAACGGCCACAUUGGGACUGAGACACGGCCCAGACUCCUACGGGAGGCAGCAGUGGGGAAUAUUGCACAACGGGGGAAACCCUGAUGCAGCGACGCCGCGUGGAGGAAGAAGGUCUUCGGAUUGUAAACUCCUGUUGUUGAGGAAGAUAAUGACGGUACUCAACAAGGAAGUGACGGCUAACUACGUGCCAGCAGCCGCGGUAAAACGUAGGUCACAAGCGUUGUCCGGAAUUACUGGGUGUAAAGGGAGCGCAGGCGGGAAGACAAGUUGGAAGUGAAAUCCAUGGGCUCAACCCAUGAACUGCUUUCAAAACUGUUUUUCUUGAGUAGUGCAGAGGUAGGCGGAAUUCCCGGUGUAGCGGUGGAAUGCGCAGAUAUCGGGAGGAACACCAGUGGCGAAGGCGGCCUACUGGGCACCAACUGACGCUGAGGCUCGAAAGUGUGGGUAGCAAACAGGAUUAGAUACCCUGGUAGUCCACACUGUAAACGAUGAUUACUAGGUGUUGGAGGAUUGACCCCUUCAGUGCC